GCAUAUCAAUAAGCGGAGGAAAAGAAACCAACAGGGAUUGCCUCAGUAACGGCGAGUGAAGCGGCAACAGCUCAAAUUUGAAAUCUGGCGCCUUCGGCGUCCGAGUUGUAAUUUGUAGAGGAUGCUAUUGGGUUGCCACCGGUCUAAGUUCUUUGGAACAGGACGUCACAGAGGGUGAGAAUCCCGUAUGUGACCGGCCAGGCGCCUUCUGUAUAGCUCCUUCGACGAGUCGGGUUGUUUGGGAAUGCAGCCCUAAAUGGGAGGUAAAUUUCUUCUAAAGCUAAAUACCGGCCAGAGACCGAUAGCGCACAAGUAGAGUGAUCGAAAGAUGAAAAGCACUUUGGAAAGAGAGUUAAAAAGCACGUGAAAUUGUUGAAAGGGAAGCGCUUGCAAUCAGUCUCGACGGCGGCUGUUCGGCCUCUCUUCUGAGUGGUUUAUUCAGUCGCCGCCGGGCCAGCAUCAGUUUUGGCGGUCGGAUAAAGGCGUGGGGAAUGUAGCUCCUCCGGGAGUGUUAUAGCCCCGCGUGCAAUACGGCCCGCCGGGACUGAGGUCCGCGCUUCGGCUAGGAUGCUGGCGAAAUGGUUGUAAGCGGCCCGUCUUGAAACACGGACCAAGGAGUCUAACAUCUACGCGAGUGUUUGGGUGUCAAACCCGUGCGCGCAAUGAAAGUGAACGGAGGUGGGAACCGCAAGGUGCACCAUCGACCGAUCCUGAUGUCUUCGGAUGGAUUUGAGUAAGAGCGUAGCUGUUGGGACCCGAAAGAUGGUGAACUAUGCCUGAAUAGGGUGAAGCCAGAGGAAACUCUGGUGGAGGCUCGCAGCGGUUCUGACGUGCAAAUCGAUCGUCAAAUUUGGGUAUAGGGGCGAAAGACUAAUCGAACCAUCUAGUAGCUGGUUCCUGCCGA
rnacentral:rRNA from 1 species